rnacentral:tRNA from 1 species
GUUGAAGUGGCUGAGAAUAGGCGAUAAACUGUAAAUUUAUUCAUGGGGUUACCCCUUCAACA